UACGUAGGCAGCAAGCGUUGUUCGGAGUUACUGGGCGUAAAGGGUGUGUAGGCGGCUUCGUAAGUUCGGUGUGAAAUCUCCUGGCUUAACUGGGAGGGUGCGCCGAAAACUGCGGAGCUGGAGCGCAGGAGAGGAAAGCAGAAUUCCUGUGUAGCGGUGAAAUGCGUAGAUAUCAGGAGGAAUACCGGUGGUGAAGGCGGCUUUCUGGACUGCUGCUGACGCUGAUACACGAAAGCGUGGGGAGCAAACAGG
rnacentral:rRNA from 1 species